CUUGCUGUCACAGUAUGCAACAGCAUAAUGGAGUGCAUGGGCAUCAUCUAAAUUGGUAUGCGCCUCAUUUAGUAGCAUUCUAACUAAUUCUACAUCAUCUGAGUCCAAAGCUCGGUGUAUUCUCUUUUUGUGUUUAUCAGCAUAACCUGGGCUCUCGGGUGUCUCCAGACCAUACUCUAAGCGAGAAUCUGUUAUUUGCUUUACAAUGUGUUGGGGUAAGGCCUUGUCAAGAGUUACAAUAUCAGCAUCAGAUUUCAUAAUGAUCUCGAUACAUCUUGCAAACAAUCUCUCACAAGCUUUACCACAUAUAUUUGCAACAGAUAGAACCACCAAGAUGUCAUCAAUUGCAACUAUGUCAAGAAUGUCUAGAAGGUGCCUCUGCAGUUAAAUAAAAAGCCAAAAGAUUCUGAGAAGAAACUGAAGAAAAAUUAAUAAAUGGAUCGCAACCCAUGUUCAUACAAAAUACCCACCAUAUUUGUUUUACUGGUCCUUGAAUUAAUCAAAUGUUUUUAACAUGAAUUAAAACAAUAAAUUCAUAAUCCAAAAGCAUAGCUUCAUUUGCAGAAAAUUAGUGCUCCACAAAAUGUAGAAGAGAGUUAUCCAAGAUCAACACUAAGCCAAAAUGCACACACAAGGCACAAGCAACUUUCCACUUUCUUUUCAAUAUUGAAUGCCUUGUGUUUUGGUUUGGCUAUAUAUACUCCCGAAAUGUGGCCACCUUUGAUCAAGAAGAGUUUUAUCACUUCUAGCAUGUAACUGCCAAUAAAAGUUGCAUCUCUUCAUGUAGUUCCCUCAUGUGUGUCCCAAAUUCCUUCAGAAAAUGUUAAAAAAAAAUGAACAAAAUAGGCUUUGAAUACAAGGAAAAUUAUGCCCCCCAACAAACAAUUACCUUCAAGAGACAGACACAAUUUUUUGCACUAGCCAAGUCCCCAUCUUUGACCUUUAAAUAUUAUUUUAAACCAAGGUCAAAUUAAAGUUUCCCUCCAAUAUUUCCCACUAAUCAAACUAAUUUGAUUUGGUUAGUAAAGGUUUAUAAACACAUUUUUCCUCUCAUCAUCUUCCAAUGUGGGACAAAUAACUCUUUUAUCACUAUUACUAACAGAAACCAACAAAAUGUGAAAGUUGAUAUUAUAAGGUAAGGGUGUUUAUGGUUUCUAGUUAGCUUGAAAAUAAAUUAUUGACAUCAACUCUUUUAUCUUUUUUUUUUUGUAAUU
rnacentral:misc_RNA from 1 species